GUUCGGAAUAACAGUUGGAAACGACUGCUAAUACCGGAUGAUGACGUAAGUCCAAAGAUUUAUCGCCGAGGGAUGAGCCCGCGUAGGAUUAGGUAGUUGGUGUGGUAAAGGCGCACCAAGCCGACGAUCCUUAGCUGGUCUGAGAGGAUGAUCAGCCACACUGGGACUGAGACACGGCCCAGACUCCUACGGGAGGCAGCAGUGGGGAAUAUUGGACAAUGGGCGCAAGCCUGAUCCA
rnacentral:rRNA from 1 species